UUAUUGACCACGUUAUAAACCAUCGCCUCACAAUGGCAGAGGCAGGUCGCCGAGUGCAGCCUAAUGUGCCUCGGUCUACAGUCUCCUCCAUCAUCCAAACCUUUCGCAGGGCAAACAGGUUUGGACGACAGCCUCAAGUGGGUGGCAGAAGAAAACUUCUAAAUGAACAACAAGAACAAGAAAUAUGCAACAUGAGAAUAAUGACAUUAGAAGGCAACGAAACCCUCACAUCCUGGUGUUCAUUGAUGAAGCUGGCUUCAACCUGGCCAAAGGUCGAAGGCGUGGCCGUAACAUCAUUGGCCACCAAGCCACUGUGGAUGUCCCAGGCCAGCGAGGAGCAAAUAUAACAAUGUGUGCCGCUAUAUCAGAAAGAGGUGUGGCCACACACAUUCCCAGUUUAGGGCCCUACAAUACACAAAAGCUCCUCAAUUUUUUGGACCACCUUUAUGCUGAUCUGAUCCCAGAAAAUGAGAGAGGUGAAGAAGGACCUCAGCUACCACAUUAUGUCAUUGUGUGGGAUAAUGUGAACUUCCACCGCGGCCCACGCAUCAGAACCUGGUUCACCACCCAUCCCCGGAUGCUAAUGGAGUUUCUUCCACCUUACUCUCCUUUCCUAAAUCCAAUUGAGGAGUUUUUUUCAGCUUGGAGGUGGAGGGUGUAUGAGCAUCAGGCUCAAGACCAGAGGGCCCUGCUGCAUGCAAUGGAUGCUGCAUGUGAGGACAUCACAGCGGAUCAAUGUAGGGGAUGGUGAGACAUUCACGCCGUUUCUUCCCUCGCUGCAUCGCAAGAGAAAAUAUCCGUUGCGAUGUGGAUGAGAAUUUAUGGCCUGACAGAGAGCAGCGCGUCGAUGGCCAGGGGGAUGAGGAUGGUGGCCAGGAAAGAGAGGGUGACAAUGGCGACCACUGAAAAUAUUACUGUACUAUAGUUCUGAAAAUUUAUUUACAGUAUGGUAGGCUAGAGUUUGUUUUGGUUUUUUGUUUGUUUAUAACUGUUCACAUUUACAGAAUCCUG
ensembl:lncRNA